UUUUUCUUCCUCCUGCCCAGAGAAGGACUUUUCAGAUUUCAUAAUGGAUACCAGUAGUGCCAGCGCUAUUUUCUCUCCAGCUGUGAGAGGGGCUUUUUAAAAUGACUCACCCAAGCUGCUGCCCAGCUGCCGGGCCUCACCCUCUUAGGAGGGCCCUGCAUUUUAAACAGUAGUGGCGCUGACUGAGGCGAGAAGGGCUCAUUUAUGGGGAUGGCACAGAUGUACUCUACCCACAGCAGUUGAGCCUAAAGAGACCUUCCAUUCAGGCAGAUCUAACAUCAUAUCAGUGUACUCCAGAAUAAACAGUGUAUAUACCUUGGCAUUCUUCCAGCUUGAUUGAACUGUAUGAGAAGGUGACAACAAUCAAAUUAGGUCAAUGGGAAAUUAAAGUCCAUUUAUUUCCUCCCAGUUUAUCAUAUUAAUGGACUAUUGAAGAGGAAUCAUGCAAAUAAAACAUAAAUAUCUUUCUAGUGGUCACUGAUAAAGCAGGCUUAGGAGUGAUUGAUGAAUUAAGGGCUGCAUUUAUUCCAAUUUGGAAAAGUUUCCAGGAUUCCAGGAUUCAGUACUUUGUCAACUUUAUUUACAGUGCCUUGACCAGCACCAACUGAAAAUGACACUGUUUGUAUAUGACCCAACAUUCAGAGAAGCCAACUCACCUUUAAAAAUCUGUUUCCUGGAUUGUGAAGGCUUGGUGCCCAGUGGCAAUGACAUUGAAAUCAUUCCAAGACUAUAAAAUAUUUUCUUUUUAAACCCAAAGAAAUAAAAAGUAGGACCCAAAUUGCCAGUGUUUUAUCCAAACUUUCUUCAGUUCAUAAGAAUUUUCUUAGUCCACAGUGCAAUUUAGAUCUUCUAUAAACAGUCGACAUUUCAAUUUCACAAAUGUGGGGCAGCUAGGUAACACAGUGGAGAAAGUG